rnacentral:rRNA from 2 species
UUGUAAUCUGAGCGUCUUAUUUUAAUAAGUCAAAACUUUCAACAACGGAUCUCUUGGUUCUGGCAUCGAUGAAGAACGCAGCGAAAUGCGAUAAGUAAUGUGAAUUGCAGAAUUCAGUGAAUCAUCGAAUCUUUGAACGCACAUUGCGCCCAUUAGUAUUCUAGUGGGCAUGCCUGUUCGAGCGUCAUUUCAACCCUUAAGC